CCUACGGGAGGCAGCAGUGGGGAAUAUUGCACAAUGGGGGCAACCCUGAUGCAGCGACGCCGCGUGAAUGAAGAAGUACUUCGGUAUGUAAAACUCUAUCAGCAGGGAAGAAAAUGACGGUACCUGACUAAGAAGCCCCGGCUAACUACGUGCCAGCAGCCGCGGUAAUACGUAGGGGGCAAGCGUUAUCCGGAUUUACUGGGUGUAAAGGGAGCGUAGGCGGGGGAGCAAGUCCGGAGUGAAAGCCCGGGGCUCAACCCCGGGACUGCUCUUGAAACUGCCAAACUUGAGUGCAGGAGGGGUAGGCGGAAUUCCUGGUGUAGCGGUGAAAUGCGUAGAUAUCAGGAGGAACACCGGUGGCGAAGGCGGCCUACUGGACUGUAAAUGACGUUGAGGCUCGAAAGCGUGGGGAGCAAACAGGAUUAGAUACCCGUGUAGUC
rnacentral:rRNA from 1 species